GGGGGCGUUAUGGAUUCGACGGGGAUUGUUUGAGCAGGAGUAGCGGGCCGUGGGGCUGCGCACACGUUAAAAACGCGGACCUAAACACAAACGCAAAAACAAAACGUAACACCUUCACAAGCAGUAACCUCGCUUUAGCCGCUUAAUCAGCCUAUCGCGACGUCGUGUGGCCGCUCGCCCAUGGUGAUCAUAUGGCGCUAACCUAGUGGGAUAGUCAACGGGAGCCCUCCUGCGGCUCGCUGAUAAAAUAAAGGCGGGAUAGCCUGAUCAAGAGCGCGUCGCUACGCGCUGGAUCAGGCGAAACUUCAAAAUAGCGACUACGCCCGUAGAAGCGAAUGCAGCGAGAUCUUCGGACGGGGGUUCAAAUCCCCCCGCCUCCACCA
rnacentral:tmRNA from 1 species